UACAGAGGGUGCAAGCGUUAAUCGGAAUUACUGGGCGUAAAGGGCUCGUAGGUGGUCAACUAAGUCGGACGUGAAAUCCCUCGGCUUAACCGGGGAACUGCGUCCGAUACUGGAUGACUUGAGUUCGGGAGAGGGAUGCGGAAUUCCAGGUGUAGCGGUGAAAUGCGUAGAUAUCUGGAGGAACACCGGUGGCGAAGGCGGCAUCCUGGACCGACACUGACGCUGAGGAGCGAAAGCCAGGGGAGCAAACGGG
rnacentral:rRNA from 1 species